AUUCCGUCUCAUAUGACUUUUCCAAUCGUUGAUUUCUCUCUAAACAUAUGGGAAUUAUCCAUCGUUCUUCUCAGGAACCGAUGCAAUUCUUCAGAUUUCUACUUGUGCGACUAGCCCGUCCAUCACAAUCUAUGAGCAAACUUUCCUGACCCUAUCACUUCACUCGGCGGCCCAGUCGCACGCAAGAUUCGAUCAAUACAUGAAGUUACACAUGUCUAUAGACUUCACGCCGCAUCAUCCUUGAAUUCCUCUUUUAGGACAUUGUAUAGUAGUAUACUAUACCUCUCUGUCUAUCCAUCCAGAUUAUCCUUCCCUAUCCGAGUCCUUCUAACCCGCGCA